UGCUUAACACAUGCAAGUCGAUGAUGGGAGCUAGCUUGCUAGAAGAAAGUCAUGGCGGACGGGUGAGUAACGUGUAAAGAACUUACCAUAUAGACUGGGAUAACAGAGGGAAACUUCUGAUAAUACUAGAUAAAGUUAGUAGUAGCAUUACUAAGUAAUGAAAAGGUAGCAAUACGCUAUAUGAGAGCUUUUGCAUCCCUAUUAGCUAGUUGGUGGGGUAAAAGCCCCUACCCAAGGCGAUGAUAGGUAGCCGGCCUGAGAGGGUGGACGGCCACAAGGGGACUGAGAUACGGCCCUUACUCCUACGGGGAGGCAGCAGUGGGGAAUAUUGGACAAUGGAGGCAACUCUGAUCCAGCAAUUCUGUGUGUGUGAAGAAGGUUUUAGGACUGUAAAACACUUUUAGUAGGGGAAGAAAGAAAUGACGGUACCUACAGAAGAAGCGACGGCUAAAUACGUGCCAGCAGCCGCGGUAAU
rnacentral:rRNA from 1 species